GACGAACGCUGGCGGCGUGCUUAACACAUGCAAGUCGAACGGAAAGGCCCUGCUUUUGUGGGGUGCUCGAGUGGCGAACGGGUGAGUAACACGUGCGUAACCUGCCCUUGACUUUGGGAUAACUUCAGGAAACUUGGGCUCAUACCGGAUAGGAGCUCCUGCUGCAUGGUGGGGGUUGGAAAGUUUCGGCGGUUGGGGAUGGACUCGCGGCUUAUCAGCUUGUUGGUGGGGUAGUGGCUUACCAAGGCUUUGACGGGUAGCCGGCCUGAGAGGGUGACCGGCCACAUUGGGACUGAGAUACGGCCCAGACUCCUACGGGAGGCAGCAGGGGGGAAUAUUGAACAAUGGGCGGAAGCCUGAUGCAGCAACGCCGCGUGCGGGAUGACGGCCUUCGGGUUGUAAACCGCUGUCGCCUGUGACGAAGCGUGAGUGACGGUAAUGGGUAAAGAAGCACCGGCUAACUACGUG
rnacentral:rRNA from 1 species